rfam:Hordeum vulgare subsp. vulgare, WGS project CAJW01000000 data, contig: morex_contig_1519404
CUACGUCCCUGCCCUUUGUACACACCGCCCGUCGCUCCUACCGAUUGAAUGGUCCGGUGAAGUGUUCGGAUCGCGGCGACGGGGGCGGGUCGCCGCCCCCGACGCCGCGAGAAGUCCAUUGAACCUUAUCAUUUAGAGGAAGGAGAAGUCGUAACAAGGUUUCCGUAGGUGAACCUGCGGAAGGAUCAUUG